GACAGAGGGUGCAAACGUUGUUCGGAUUUACUGGGCGUAAAGCGCGUGUAGGCGGCUUUGCAAGUCUUGUGUGAAAUCCCUCGGCUUAACCGAGGAAGUGCGCAAGAAACUGCAGAGCUUGAGUACCGGAGAGGAUGGUGGAAUUCCCGGUGUAGCGGUGAAAUGCGUAGAUAUCGGAAGGAACACCUGUGGCGAAAGCGGCUCACUGGACCAUUACUGACGCUGAGGCACGAAAGCUAGGGGAGCAAACAGG
rnacentral:rRNA from 1 species